rnacentral:tRNA from 1 species
GGUGUGCUGGCGCAAUGGUAGCGCGUAGUCCUCCUAUAAGCAAGACUAAGGUUCAGGGUUCGAGUCCCUGGUACAUCG